GUGGGGGAGGAGAGAGAGAUAUAUAUAGUGGGACCGUGGUCGGACAGAGUGAUUCUUGAAUCGAAUCCAAUUAGUUAAUCUUAAUUUGGAUUCUAAAGCCCCCAAAUUAAUUAGAUUAAUAAGAUUUUAGAGUCGUAUUAUAUAUUUAAUUGGAAAUUAACUUUCGCACGUGCUCAUCUUAUUUGUGUCCCCAAGAUCCACCGAGCCCAUCGCCCCGUUCGAUCUGUCUCGGCUCGGGAACGAAGGUUGGUUUGAUGAUCGCGAAGACGGGGGAGUUAUGUGCGCUGCUUCUUCUAGCGGUGCCUCGUGGUUUGAGGGUGGGAGCUGACGGAACCAAUCAUAGGUACGAGGAGGGUGAUCGUGUGCCCCUCCCUGUAUGCCAACAAGGUCCGUCCCAUGGUGAUUUCCUUCCAUUCCAUUCCAUUCUUUUCUUGCCACAUUGUCGUUUUGGGCUUUAUUCUUAUUUAGGUUCGUAUUUGGUGUAGCAACAUGUGAGUAGC